rnacentral:rRNA from 1 species
GACGAACGCUGGCGGCGUGCUUAACACAUGCAAGUCGAGCGGUAAGGCCCUUUCGGGGUACGACGAGCGGCGAACGGGUGAGUAACACGUGGGUGACCUGCCCUCAGCUCUGGGAUAAGCCUGGGAAACUGGGUCUAAUACUGGAUAUGACUCCACGGUGCAUGUCGUGGGGUGGAAAGCCUUGUGCGGCUGAGGAUGGGCCCGCGGCCUAUCAGCUUGUUGGUGGGGUGACNGGCCUACCAAGGCGACGACGGGUAGCCGGCCUGAGAGGGCGACCGGCCACACUGGGACUGAGACACGGCCCAGACUCCUACGGGAGGCAGCAGUGGGGAAUCUUGCGCAAUGGGCGAAAGCCUGACGCAGCGACGCCGCGUGAGGGAU